CAACAAGAAGGAAUAUAGCCUACAUUAUAACGAUAACUUGAAAACGAAAUAUGAUAAAAAGUAUUAAGGUGGAAUGGGCGUUGCUUUGGUGUCAUGUUUCAGUGCUCUGUGCAGCCCAGCAUUCAGCCCAGACUGAGACUUGGCAGGUGAAAGGCAUUGUGGGAAAGUUUCUCUCUUUUCCAGUGAGGGUGUUGAAGUCUGGCAAUUUACUUUAUGGAGACCUUGGCAAUAUUGCACAGGUGUACCCUGUUAAACAAAGUAAUACCAACCUUGUGAAUAGAUUUAAAUACCGCAUUCACUGGAACGAUGUUACUGGAUUCUUCACUUUGACAGACCUACAAAUAGAGGAUUCUGGGGUUUAUACCGUGGAGAAUGCAGAUGAAGAGAAGACGACACAUACAUUUCAGCUGACUGUGUACCAUGUUCUGUCCAAACCUCAGGUGACGGUCCAUGACAACAACUCCUGUACCAUGGUGUGUUCUAUGGAGAACGGGAGAGAUGUGACACUGUCCUGGUACAGAGGAGGGGAGAUACUCAACCAGAGCAGCAGCCCUGACCUGAACAUCACCCUCUCUCUACCUCUCAAGGUGGAUGAACAGAACAGAGACUCUUACAGAUGUGAGGCUGCCAACCCAGUCAGCAAGGAGACCGCUGUUGUUCCAAAUUCCUGUAUAGAGAGUGAUCACUCCAAGGUGGCAGAUGGUGAUGAGAGGACUCGAAGUUGUCUUAUUAUUGCUGUAAUCUGCGUUUUGUUUGCCUCAGGACUUGUUGGACUUGCAAUCUAUCUAAAGAAGGGUAGAAAUGGACACUCACAAGGCAGAUUCACCUGAAAGAAAGCAAGAUGACAUUCAGUACACAGCCAUAACUCACAUUAAUCCAGCAGAUAACCAGGAGGAGCGAACAGGUGUGCUUGGAGACAACCCUAACCUGACAUCCGUUUAUGAUCAAAUCCAGUUAUAUCGCAUGGCGAACAGCGAUGACAUCGACACUGCAUGGAGAGAGAAAACAGGAAGUUACUGAGAGGGUGACAUGAUAAUUAAUAUCCAAGAGAAGGCGUUACAUCCUAAAAAAGACAAAAUUAUAGUAAAUAUCCAUCUAGAAAACUUAAUGGAGGCACAGAUUAUUUGAGAAAAUGCCCAUUUAACCAUUGCACUGUUGUUAUUAUUUCAGACUUCCUUUGUUGGUAAUUCUCAGUCUUUUGUUGAAUUGGGGCCUCGAUUAGAUUCACUGAUACAGACAAAUUCAAUAGCUAUGCCUAGGGUUAUUAGUAGGAUGAUCACUCUUUUAAAGUGCCCAUUGUCCCAAUGUAUAGGUUCAAACAAAUGGAAUCUAUCUUUUUAAUACAAUUCAUUAGUGUGUUUGCUAUUCUACUGCUGGGCCAAAGCUUAUUUUCAGUAGUCUGUUCUGUUGUACACAGCUCCCCUGUAUCUUUUCAUAGCUGGUCAUUGUUUAGCUUGUCAGUGGAUAUCAGCUGUGUGCAUAUAAUAAAUAGAGCAGGUGUUUGAGAUAAAGCCACAUAUUCCUUAGAAGCAGUGGUUGUUAGGCUACGUUGGAAACAAAAAGUCCCCAAGUAAAACAUUUUAGUUUCACCAUGUACAUUCUGUUGAAACAUUUCUGAGGGGUUGAUCUUGAUUUGCCUUUUGACUCAGAAAGUGAUCUUGGGUGACAUUUUACUCUUAUUGCUUUUCGCAAAAUGCAGACCUGAUUAAGUGUAGUUCAGGUCUUGCUUUGACAACUGUGUUCAUGCAGUUUGAAUGUACAAAAUCAACAGUUUAGUUUAUCAUGAUGGACCAUUUAUUGCUUUUCCUUGUCUACACAGUUUGUAGCUCAUUAUCUCUUAAGAAUACAAUCACCCCCUCCGGCAUGCUCCUGCAGACACUCCUUCUAUUAGAGCAUUUUGUGCUCCACCUACGUUAGCCCACAUAUAUAACUGUGAAAAAGAAAUUCUAUCGAUACCAUAGUGAGUUGUGGCACUGUAGGCUAUUUCAUUUUUAUAAUUUUGUUUUUCAGAGUUUUGAGAUUGGCAACAUUUCUCCAGAAAUACAACUCCAUAUUGUGGUUUUAAUGUAGCCUACUUCUAGGGUCAAAUUAGGAGGGACCACUGUAAUUGUUUGGUGGUUUCAAGUGCGUUUCUCUAUUUAUUGAGUUUAAGUGUAUUUGGGACGUUUUGACCCUGUUACUUUUCAUUUCAAGCAGCUGUACAUUUCUAAUUUGAAAAGAAUGAUGACUAAUCCUAUUAAAGUUCAAGCAUUGCUUUCAAGGAAACAAUGUUUUUCUUCUAA